GUCCAUGCAUCUUUGGGACUGUCAGCUGUGGCAGUCUCCCCUUCCUAGCCAUGGAAGAGUGUGUGCUUGUUUAUUGGCAAAGCUGUCACCAUGUAAUUGGGGUCAGAUUCUGGCUGGCACAAGUAACGUUC
rnacentral:snoRNA from 1 species